GAGUUUGAUCCUGGCUCAGAUUGAACGCUGGCGGCAGGCCUAACACAUGCAAGUCGAGCGGAUGACGGGAGCUUGCUCCUUGAUUCAGCGGCGGACGGGUGAGUAAUGCCUAGGAAUCUGCCUGGUAGUGGGGGACAACGUUUCGAAAGGAACGCUAAUACCGCAUACGUCCUACGGGAGAAAGCAGGGGACCUUCGGGCCUUGCGCUAUCAGAUGAGCCUAGGUCGGAUUAGCUAGUUGGUGGGGUAAUGGCUCACCAAGGCGACGAUCCGUAACUGGUCUGAGAGGAUGAUCAGUCACACUGGAACUGAGACACGGUCCAGACUCCUACGGGAGGCAGCAGUGGGGAAUAUUGGACAAUGGGCGAAAGCCUGAUCCAGCCAUGCCGCGUGUGUGAAGAAGGUCUUCGGAUUGUAAAGCACUUUAAGUUGGGAGGAAGGGCAGUAAGUUAAUACCUUGCUGUUUGACGUUACGACAGAAUAAGCACCGGCUAACUCUGUGCCAGCAGCCG
rnacentral:rRNA from 1 species